GGCCCAUUAGCUCAGUUGGUUAGAGCGU
rnacentral:ncRNA from 2 species